AUUGAACGCUGGCGGCAUGCCUAACACAUGCAAGUCGAACGGCAGCGCGGGGGCAACCCUGGCGGCGAGUGGCGGACGGGUGAGGAAUGCAUAGGAAUCUGCCCGGUUGUGGGGGAUAACGUAGGGAAACUUACGCUAAUACCGCAUACGACCUUCGGGUGAAAGUGGGGGACCUUCGGGCCUCACGCGAUCGGAUGAGCCUAUGCCCGAUUAGCUAGUUGGCGGGGUAAGAGCCCACCAAGGCGACGAUCGGUAGCUGGUCUGAGAGGAUGAUCAGCCACACUGGGACUGAGACACGGCCCAGCCCCCUACGGGGGGCAGCGGUGGGGAAUAUUGGAAAAUGGGGGCAAGCCUGCUCCAGAAAUGCCGGGGGGGUGAAGAAGGCCUUCGGGUUGUAAAGCACUUUUGUUCGGGAAAAAAUCCGGGUGGUUAAUACCCGUAGGGGAUGACGGUACCGAAAGAAUAAGCACCGGCUAACUUCGG
rnacentral:rRNA from 1 species